rnacentral:rRNA from 1 species
GAGUUUGAUCAUGGCUCAGGAUGAACGCUGGCGGCGUGCUUAACACAUGCAAGUCGAACGAGGUACCCUUGACAGAGGCUUCGGCCAAUUGAUAGGAAUACCUAGUGGCGGACGGGUGAGUAACGCGUGAGGAACCUGCCUUGGAGUGGGGAAUAACAGUUAGAAAUAGCUGCUAAUACCGCAUAAUGCAACUAAGUCGCAUGGCUUUGGUUGCCAAAGAUUUAUCGCUCUAAGAUGGCCUCGCGUCUGAUUAGAUAGUUGGCGGGGUAACGGCCCACCAGGUCGACGAUCAGUAGCCGGACUGAGAGGUUGGCCGGCCACAUUGGGACUGAGACACGGCCCAGACUCCUACGGGAGGCAGCAGUGGGGAAUAUUGGGCAAUGGGCGCAAGCCUGACCCAGCAACGCCGCGUGAAGGAAGAAGGCCCUCGGGUUGUAAACUUCUUUUAUUCGGGACGAAACAAAUGACGGUACCGAAUGAAUAAGCCACGGCUAACUACGUGCCAGCAGCCGCGGUAAUACGUAGGUGGCAAGCGUUAUCCGGAUUUACUGGGUGUAAAGGGCGUGUAGGCGGGAGAGCAAGUCAGACGUGAAAUUCCAGGGCUCAACCCUGGAACUGCGUUUGAAACUGUUCUUCUUGAGUGAUGGAGAGGCAGGCGGAAUUCCGUGUGUAGCGGUGGAAUGCGUAGAUAUACGGAGGAACACCAGUGGCGAAGGCGGCCUGCUGGACAUUAACUGACGCUGAGGCGCGAAAGCGUGGGGAGCAAACAGGAUUAGAUACCCUGGUAGUCCACGCUGUAAACGAUGGAUACUAGGUGUGGGGGGUCUGACCCCCUCCGUGCCGCAGCUAACGCAAUAAGUAUCCCACCUGGGGAGUACGAUCGCAAGGUUGAAACUCAAAGGAAUUGACGG